UGCCAGCAGCCGCGGUAAUACGGAGGGUCCAAGCGUUGUUCGGAAUCACUGGGCGUAAAGCGCGUGUAGGCGGUUUCGUCAGUCGGAUGUGAAAUCCCAGGGCUCAACCCUGGACGUGCAUCCGAUACUGCGAAACUAGAAUCCCGGAGGGGGUGGCGGAAUUCCUGGUGUAGAGGUGAAAUUCGUAGAUAUCAGGAGGAACACCUGUGGCGAAGGCGGCCACCUGGACGGGUAUUGACGCUGAGACGCGAAAGCGUGGGUAGCAAACAGGAUUAGAUA
rnacentral:rRNA from 1 species